rnacentral:rRNA from 1 species
UGCCGCGUGCAGGUAGACUGCCCUAUGGGUUGUAAACUGCUUUUAUCCGGGAAUAAACCUACUUACGUGUAAGUAGCUGAAUGUACCGGAAGAAUAAGGAUCGGCUAACUCCGUGCCAGCAGCCGCGG